UGCAAGUCGAGCGGCAGCGCGGUCUUCGGACUGGCGGCGAGCGGCGAACGGGUGAGUAAUACAUCGGAACAUGCCCAGCUCGUGGGGGAUAACACUUCGAAAGAAGUGCUAAUACCGCAUACGUCCUGAGGGAGAAAGCGGGGGAUCGCAAGACCUCGCGCGAUUGGAGUGGCCGAUGUCAGAUUAGCUAGUUGGUGGGGUAAAGGCCUACCAAGGCAACGAUCUGUAGCUGGUCUGAGAGGAUGAUCAGCCACACUGGGACUGAGACACGGCCCAGACUCCUACGGGAGGCAGCAGUGGGGAAUUUUGGACAAUGGGGGCAACCCUGAUCCAGCCAUUCCGCGUGAGUGAAGAAGGCCUUCGGGUUGUAAAGCUCUUUCGGCAGGAACGAAACGGCGAGCUCUAACAUAGCUCGCUAAUGACGGUACCUGAAGAAGAAGCACCGGCUAACUACGUGCCAGCAGCCGCGGUAAUACGUAGGGUGCGAGCGUUAAUCGGAAUUACUGGGCGUAAAGCGUGCGCAGGCGGUUGUGUAAGACAGGUGUSAAAUCCCCGGGCUUAACCUGGGAACUGCGCUUGUGACUGCACGGCUAGAGUAUGGCAGAGGGGGGUGGAAUUCCACGUGUAGCAGUGAAAUGCGUAGAGAUGUGGAGGAACACCGAUGGCGAAGGCAGCCCCCUGGGCCAAUACUGACGCUCAUGCACGAAAGCGU
rnacentral:rRNA from 1 species